GAUGAACGCUGGCGGCGUGCCUAAUACAUGCAAGUCGAGCGAACGGACGAGAAGCUUGCUUCUCUGAUGUUAGCGGCGGACGGGUGAGUAACACGUGGAUAACCUACCUAUAAGACUGGGAUAACUUCGGGAAACCGGAGCUAAUACCGGAUGAUAUUUUGAACCGCAUGGUUCAAAAGUGAAAGACGGUCCUGCUGUCACUUAUAGAUGGAUCCGCGCUGCAUUAGCUAGUUGGUAAGGUAACGGCUUACCAAGGCAACGAUGCAUAGCCGACCUGAGAGGGUGAUCGGCCACACUGGAACUGAGACACGGUCCAGACUCCUACGGGAGGCAGCAGUAGGGAAUCUUCCGCAAUGGGCGAAAGCCUGACGGAUCAACGCCGCGUGAGUGAUGAAGGUCUUCGGAUCGUAAAACUCUGUUAUUAGGGAAGAACAUAUGUGUAAGUAACUGUGCACAUCUUGACGGUACCUAAUCAGAAAGCCACGGCUAACUACGUG
rnacentral:rRNA from 1 species